rnacentral:rRNA from 1 species
UGCGUGCUCUGUGCCACCAGCCCAGGUAAUAGGAAGGGUGCAAGCUGUAAUCGGAAUUACUGGGCGUAAAGCGUGCGUAGGCGGUGCUGUAAGUCUGCUGUGAAAUCCCCGGGCUCAACCUGGGAAUGUCAGUGGAUACUGGUGAGCUAGAGUGUGAUAGAGGAUGGUGGAAUUCCCGGUGUAGCGGUGAAAUGCGUAGAGAUCGGGAGGAACAUCAGUGGCGAAGGCGGCCAUCUGGAUCAACACUGACGCUGAGGCACGAAAGCGUGGGGAGCAAACAGGAUUAGAUACCCCAGUAGUC